GAUGAACGCUGGCGGCGUGCCUAAUACAUGCAAGUCGAGCGAAUAGAUGAGGAGCUUGCUCCUCUGACGUUAGCGGCGGACGGGUGAGUAACACGUGGAUAACCUACCUAUAAGACUGGGAUAACUUCGGGAAACCGGAGCUAAUACCGGAUAAUAUAUUGAACCGCAUGGUUCAAUAGUGAAAGACGGUUUUGCUGUCACUUAUAGGUGGAUCCGCGCCGCAUUAGCUAGUUGGUAAGGUAACGGCUUACCAAGGCAACGAUGCGUAGCCGACCUGAGAGGGUGAUCGGCCACACUGGAACUGAGACACGGUCCAGACUCCUACGGGAGGCAGCAGUAGGGAAUCUUCCGCAAUGGGCGAAAGCCUGACGGAGCAACGCCGCGUGAGUGAUGAAGGUCUGCGGAUCGUAAAACUCUGUUAUUAGGGAAGAACAAAUGUGUAAGUAACGAUGCACGUCUUGACGGUACCUAAUCAGAAAGCCACGGCUAACUACGU
rnacentral:rRNA from 1 species